UACGUAGGGGGCUAGCGUUGUCCGGAAUCAUUGGGCGUAAAGAGCUCGUAGGCGGUUUGUCGCGUCUGCUGUGAAAACCGGAGGCUCAACCUCCGGCCUGCAGUGGGUACGGGCAAACUAGAGUGCGGUAGGGGAGAUUGGAAUUCCUGGUGUAGCGGUGGAAUGCGCAGAUAUCAGGAGGAACACCGAUGGCGAAGGCAGUUCUCUGGGCCGUAACUGACGCUGAGGAGCGAAAGCGUGGGGAGCGAACAGG
rnacentral:rRNA from 1 species